CUACGGGAGGCAGCAGUGAGGAAUAUUGGUCAAUGGGCGGGAGCCUGAACCAGCCAAGCCGCGUGAGGGAAGAAGGUACAGCGUAUCGUAAACCUCUUUUGUCAGGGAACAAAGGCGGGGACUAGUCCCCGGAUGAGGGUACCUGAAGAAAAAGCAUCGGCUAACUCCGUGCCAGCAGCCGCGGUAAUACGGAGGAUGCGAGCGUUAUCCGGAUUUAUUGGGUUUAAAGGGUGCGCAGGCGGCCUGUUAAGUCAGCGGUAAAAGCCCGGGGCUCAACCCCGGCGAGCCGUUGAAACUGGCGGGCG
rnacentral:rRNA from 1 species